rnacentral:snoRNA from 1 species
AAACCAUGAUGAGGGAAGUCUCUUUCAUACUCCUUGAAUCGCUCCCAGGCUUCAUAGAAUGAUUCUAUUGGGCCUUGUUGGAAGCUUUCUAUCUUGUUUAUCAGCU